CACGUAGGCACCAAGCGUUGUCCGGAAUUACUGGGCGUAAAGCGCGCGCAGGCGGUUUUCAAGUUCAGUGGUGAAAGCCCGGAGCUCAACUCCGGAACUGCCAUUGAAACUGUGAAACUUGAGGAUGAGAGAGGUGAGUGGAAUUCCCAGUGUAGAGGUGAAAUCGAUUAGAUAUUGGGAAGAACACCGGUGGCGAAGGCGGCUCACUGGCUCAUUUCUGACGCUCAGGCGCGACAGCGUGGGGAUCAAACAGG
rnacentral:rRNA from 1 species